rnacentral:rRNA from 1 species
GACGAACGCUGGCGGCGUGCCUAAUACAUGCAAGUAGAACGCUGAAGCGAGGAGCUUGCUCUUCUUGGAUGAGUUGCGAACGGGUGAGUAACGCGUAGGUAACCUGCCUGGUAGCGGGGGAUAACUAUUGGAAACGAUAGCUAAUACCGCAUAAAAUUGAUUAUUGCAUGAUAAUUAAUUGAAAGAUGCAACUGCAUCACUACCAGAUGGACCUGCGUUGUAUUAGCUAGUUGGUGAGGUAGCGGCUCACCAAGGCGACCAUACAUAGCCGACCUGAGAGGGUGAUCGGCCACACUGGGACUGAGACACGGCCCAGACUCCUACGGGAGGCAGCAGUAGGGAAUCUUCGGCAAUGGGGGGAACCCUGACCGAGCAACGCCGCGUGAGUGAAGAAGGUUUUCGGAUCGUAAAGCUCUGUUGUAAGAGAAGAACGGGUGUGAGAGUGGAAAGUUCACACUGUGACGGUAUCUUACCAGAAAGGGACGGCUAACUACGUG